GGAUUAGAUACCCUGGUAGUCCACGCCCUAAACGAUGAUAACUCGAUGUUGGCGAUAGACAGCCAGCGUCCAAGCGAAAGCGUUAAGUUAUCCACCUGGGGAGUACGCCCGCAAGGGUGAAACUCAAAGGAAUUGACGGGGGCCCGCACAAGCGGAGGAGCAUGUGGUUUAAUUCGAUGAUACGCGAGGAACCUUACCCGGGCUUGAAAGUUAGUGAAGAAUGCAGAGACGCAUUCGUCCUUCGGGACACGAAACUAGGUGCUGCAUGGCUGUCGUCAGCUCGUGCUG
rnacentral:rRNA from 1 species